GGGCCGCUAGCUCACUCGGUUAGAGCAUCUGCCUUUUAAGCAGAGGGUACCUGGUUCAAGUCCAGGGCGGCUCAC
rnacentral:tRNA from 1 species